rnacentral:pre_miRNA from 1 species
UUUAUACUCCCCCCGUCCAGAAAUACUUGUCGAAGAAAUGCAUAAAAAUGAAUGUAUCUAGAACUAAAAUAUGUCUAGAUACAUCCAUUCCUCCAACAAGUAUUUCCGAACGGAGGGAGUACUCC